rnacentral:tmRNA from 1 species
GGGGGUGACUGGAUUUGACAGCACGUAGAGACGGUAAGUAAGCAUGCAGAGCUUUGAUGUGCAAGCUCUAUAAUAACAACGCAUCGAACUAUAAUUGGCGAAAAUAACAAUUACGCUCUCGCUGCCUAAACUGAAGUAUAGUAAGUUGGCUUUAUUUGCAUCAAAGUGAUGCAAACGAGACAUCAUCCCAUUGCCCUGUUCCGAGACGUUUGGACAAGAUGGUGCAGAGAAAUUCGGAAAUAUAUUAACGGGAGCCUUGACCGUUGAUUGAAGAUUAAAGGAUAUGGGUGUGAUUGGUAGUCGUGAGCCUGUCACACCAUGAAAACCAAGUCAAUGACUAAGCAUGUAGAAAGCUUAUCGGUUCCGUGAUUGGACGAGGGUUCAAUCCCCUCCACCUCCACUU